AACGAACGCUGGCGGCAUGCCUAACACAUGCAAGUCGAACGAGACCUUCGGGUCUAGUGGCGCACGGGUGCGUAACGCGUGGGAACCUGCCCUUAGGUUCGGAAUAACUCCCCGAAAGGGGUGCUAAUACCGGAUAAUGUCUUCGGACCAAAGAUUUAUCGCCUUUGGAUGGGCCCGCGUUGGAUUAGCUAGUUGGUAGGGUAAAAGCCUACCAAGGCGACGAUCCAUAGCUGGUCUGAGAGGAUGAUCAGCCACACUGGGACUGAGACACGGCCCAGACUCCUACGGGAGGGAGCAGGGGGGAAUAUUGGAAAAUGGGCGAAAGCCUGAUCCAGAAAGGCCGGGUGAGUGAUGAAGGCCUUAGGGUUGUAAAGCUCUUUUCCCCGGGAAGAAAAUGACAGUACCGGGAGAAUAAGCCCCGGAUAACUCCGU
rnacentral:rRNA from 1 species